GGGCCCCUGUGAUGUUCAGCACUGGGCUCUGAUCUCCUUUGAGGACAAGGUGCUCUCCGGGACCUUUGACUAAAACCGGGGAUCUGAGGGGUCC